AGAGUUUGAUCCUGGCUCAGAUUGAACGCUGGCGGCAUGUUUAAUAUAUGUAAGUCGAAUGGUAAUGAUGGUAGUUUGUUACCAGGUGACUAGUGGUGGACGGGUGAGUAAUAUAUAGGAAUUUGUCUUAUAGUGGGGGAUAACCUGGGGAAACCCAGGUUAAUAUUGUAUAUGUUUUUUGGGGGAAAGGUUUUGGUUGCUAUUAGAUGGGCCUAUGUUUGAUUAGUUUGUUGGUGGGGUAAUGGCCCACCAAGGUGAUGAUUAGUAGCUGGUCUGAGAGGAUGAUCAGCUAUAUUGGGAUUGAGAUAUGGCCCAGAUUUUUAUGGGAGGUAGUAGUGGGGAAUAUUGGAUAAUGGGUGAAAGCCUGAUCCAGCAAUGCCGCGUGUGUGAAGAAGGCCUGUGGGUUGUAAAGCACUUUCAGUAGGGAAGAUAAUGAUGGUACCUACAGAAGAAGCACCGGUUAACUCUGUGCCAGUAGUUGUGGUAAUAUAGAGGGUGCAAGCGUUAAUCGGAAUUACUGGGCGUAAAGCGCGCGUAGGCGGUUUGUUAAGUCGGAUGUGAAAGUUCCGGGUUUAACCUGGGAACUGCAUUCGAUAUUGGCAGGUUAGAGUAUGGUAGAGGGAAGUGGAAUUCCGGGUGUAGUGGUGAAAUGUGUAGAUAUCCGGAGGAAUAUUAGUGGUGAAGGUGGCUUCCUGGACCAAUACUGACGCUGAGGUGCGAAAGCGUGGGAGUAAAUAGGAUUAGAUAUCCUGGUAGUCCACGCUGUAAAUGAUGAGAACUAGACGUUGGGUUCAUUUAAGAGCUUAGUGUCGUAGCUAAUGCGUGAAGUUCUCCGCCUGGGGAGUAUGGCCGUAAGGUUAAAACUCAAAGGAAUUGACGGGGGCCCGCAUAAGUGGUGGAGCAUGUGGUUUAAUUUGAUGCAAUGUGAAGAACCUUACCUACCCUUGAUAUUCUCAGAACUUGUUAGAGAUAACUUGGUGUUUUUGGGAAUUGAGUGAUAGGUGCUGUAUGGCUGUCGUCAGUUUGUGUUGUGAGAUGUUGGGUUAAGUCCCGCAACGAGCGCAACCCUUGUCCCUAGUUGCCAGUAUUUAGUUGGGCAUUCUAGGGAGACUGCCGGUGAUAAACCGGAGGAAGGUGGGGAUGACGUCAAGUCAUUAUGGCCCUUAUGGGUAGGGCUACACACGUGCUACAAUGGUCAGUAUAAAGGGUUGUUAACCCGUGAGGGGGAGUUAAUUUUAUAAAGCUGAUCGUAGUCCGGAUUGGAGUUUGUAAUUUGACUCCAUGAAGUUGGAAUCGUUAGUAAUCGCAGAUUAGAAUGCUGCGGUGAAUACGUUCCCGGGCCUUGUAUAUAUUGCCCGUCACACCAUGGGAGUUGGCUGCAAAAGAAGUGGGUAGUUUAACCUUUGGGAGAACGCUCACCACUUUGUGGUUAAUGACUGGGGUGAAGUUGAAAUAAGGUA
rnacentral:rRNA from 1 species